GCACAUCCCAGCAACGACCAACUUCUCUCAACAAACAUUAGCUACCAACAUUUUUACACCUUAAUUAAAUUAUUAGACUUUGUAUUAUGCAUGCCGAUUGUUGUCGUCGUCCAUCUGCCACAUUUGUCGCUACAACCGUCGAAUCAACAAGUGUAGAACUCGGCGAGUUCCUCAGUCGACCCCAAUUGCGUCGCCGCAUUCUCCAACAUCCAUAAUAAAUGCUCAAACAUGACAACCUCACAAGAAACCACCAGCACACCGUCAUCGUCAAACGAUGACUUAUCCACCAACUCUUGAAAUAGAGGGUGUGCUACGACAUCUAAGCUGACAUAAUACAGUCGUCGGGACUUACCGACAUAGACCGUGCGAAGGUCCUUGGAGUUGUUUUGGCCAAUAUUGGUACCAUCGCUCACGGUGGCAACCGACAUGGAGCUAGAGCUCCGACCGAGCUUGGUGAUGGAGGGCCAUCUUUUAAUGGCUGACUUGAGCUUGGUGAGAGUUCCGGCUUUGACCAUGGCUGGAAAUUGUAGAGAGAAAGAGAGAAAAAAUUAAAAAGAAGAGAAAAGUGUAGAGAGGCU
rnacentral:misc_RNA from 1 species